rnacentral:rRNA from 1 species
GACGAACGCUGGCGGCGCGCUUAACACAUGCAAGUCGAGCGAGAACCAGGCCUUCGGGCCUGGGGACAGCGGCGAACGGGUGAGUAACACGUGGGUAAUCUGCCCUCGAUACUGGGAUAGCCCCGGGGAAACCCGGAUUAAUACCGGAUGGCCCUUCGAGUCUUUCGGACUUGAAGGAAAAGGUAAGCUUCGGCCUCCGAUCGAGGAUGAGCCCGCGGCGGAUUAGCUUGUUGGUGAGGUAACGGCUCACCAAGGC